AACCUAUCAAGGCAUUUAUUAGACUAAUACCAACUGUAUGUUAGUGGUUAACCCUUCUGACGUACAAGGUGAAUCUAGAUAACUUUGCCGAUCGCAUGGCUUCGGGCCGGCGACGUUUCAAUUGAAUUUCUGCCCUAUCAACUGGUUGGUAAGGUUGAGGCUUACCAAGGUGGCGACGGGUAACGGGGGAUCAGGGUUCGAUUCCGGAGAGGGAGCCUGAGAAAUGGCUACCACAUCCAAGGACGGCAGCAGGCGCGCAAAUUACCCAAUCCAGACAAUGGGAGGUGGUGACGAGAAAUACUAGUCAGUGUCUCAAAAGGACGCUGAUCUGGAAUGGACGCAAUUUAAGCAAUUCGAUGAGUAACAACUGGAGGGCAAGUCUAGUGCCAGCAGCCGCGGUAAUUCUAGCUCCAGUGGUGUAUUUUAAUGUUGCUGCGUUUAAAACGCUCGUAGUUGGAUUACGCAGUGUGAGUCGGUCAAUUAGCAGAGCUACACAUCAAAACCGAGGCGUUGGCAUCAUGAACACGGUUUCCUUGGACGUGGUGCUGCGUCUCGGUGUGUAGCAUGUUGGUUAUCAGCCGGCCCACACUACUUGUACGUGAGGAUGGCGGUUGACCUUUAGUGCGUUGACUGUUCGUGUCUUACGGAGUGUGCCUUGAAUAAAUCAGAGUGCUCAAAGCAGGCUUACGCUUGAAUGUUAAUAGCAUGGAACGAACAAUUGUGUUAUACGUGUCUAUGCUUGCAGGUGGAUGGAUUUAUUUUGUUCAUCUGUAGGUGUAGUUCACAUCACCAACCGCCAAUAACGGAUGUUGGUUUCCGUAUUGGGGUGAUGAUUAAAAGGAGCGAUUGGGGGCAUUGGUAUUUGGCCGCGAGAGGUGAAAUUCUUGGACCGGCCAAGGACUAACAAAUGCGAAGGCAAUUGCCAAGAUCGUUUCCAUUAAUCAAGAACGACAGUCCGAGGUUCGAAGUCGAUCAGAUACCGACUUAGUUCGGACCGUAAACUAUGCCGACCCGAGAUCAGUUUUGAGCUAAUUAAACGCUCGAGGUUGCUCUCCCUGGGAAACCUUAAG
rnacentral:rRNA from 1 species